GAUGAACGCUGGCGGCGUGCCUAAUACAUGCAAGUAGAACGCUGAAGGAGGAGCUUGCUCUUCUGGAUGAGUUGCGAACGGGUGAGUAACGCGUAGGUAACCUGCCUGGUAGCGGGGGAUAACUAUUGGAAACGAUAGCUAAUACCGCAUGACAACAGUUAUUGCAUGAUAACUGUUUAAAAGGGGCAACUGCUCCACUACCAGAUGGACCUGCGUUGUAUUAGCUAGUUGGUGAGGUAACGGCUCACCAAGGCGACGAUACAUAGCCGACCUGAGAGGGUGAUCGGCCACACUGGGACUGAGACACGGCCCAGACUCCUACGGGAGGCAGCAGUAGGGAAUCUUCGGCAAUGGGCGGAAGUCUGACCGAGCAACGCCGCGUGAGUGAAGAAGGGUUUCGAAUCGUAAAGCUCUGUUGUAAGAGAAGAACGAGUGUGAGAGUGGAAAGUUCACACUGUGACGGUAGCUUACCAGAAAGGGACGGCUAACUACGUG
rnacentral:rRNA from 1 species